rnacentral:rRNA from 1 species
GUAAUUGAGGGUAGUACGAGAGGAACUGCUCAUUCAGAUAAUUGGUAUUUGCGCCUGUCCGAUCGGGCAAUGGCGCGAAGCUAUCAUCUGCUAGAUUAUGGCUGAACGCCUCUAAGUCAGAAUCUGUGCCAGAAACGAUGAUGUUGGUCCCGCACAUGUUAGUUGUGUUUAAAUAGAGCUU